CAGCCGCCGCGGUAAUACGGAGGGUGCAAGCGUUAAUCGGAAUUACUGGGCGUAAAGCGCACGCAGGCGGUCUGACAAGUCAGAUGUGAAAUCCCCGGGCUUAACCUGGGAACUGCAUUUGAAACUGUCAGGCUGGAGUCUUGUAGAGGGGGGUGGAAUUCCAGGUGUAGCGGUGAAAUGCGUAGAGAUCUGGAGGAAUACCGGUGGCGAAGGCGGCCCCCUGGACAAAGACUGACGCUCAGGUGCGAAAGCGUGGGGAGCAAACAGGAUUAGAUACCCGUGUAGUUUCUGUCUCUUAUAC
rnacentral:rRNA from 1 species